rnacentral:rRNA from 1 species
AGAUAUUAUCCCCUUGUAGUGUAGUUUAAUAGCUAUCUACAUAUUAACUUAAUAUAAAGUAUAAUAGUUUAUAUUUUAUAAUAUGACGUUAACAAUUUUGUUUAAUAUUUGAAAAUGUUAGUAUUAGUAAUAUUAGUAUAUGUGCUAAAGGAACUCGGCAAAAAACCACUCAACUGUUUAUCAAAAACAUAGCUAUAUGAAUUAAUAUAUAGUUAUUUCUGCUCAAUGAUUUAAAUAGCCGCAGUACUCUGACUGUGCAAAGGUAGCAUAAUCAGUUGGCUUUUAAUUAGAGUCUGGUAUGAACGAAAAUAUGGGUAGUAACUGUCUUAGCACAUUUUUUCGAACUUAUUAAACAAGUGCAAAUGCUUGUAAUUUAACAAUAGACGAGAAGACCCUAGAAACUUGGACAAGUUUUUGUUGGGGCGACAGAAUUACACUUAACUAAUCUUAUAAUACACGACGCGAUGCUGAAAGAAUAAGUUACUCUAGGGAUAACAGCAUAAUUUCAUUAGUUUGUGACCUCGAUGUUGGACUAGGUACUAUACCCUUAAGGCAAGGAUAUAUUAUGCUCUGUUCGAGCAAAAUUACCUACAUGAUCUGAGUUCAGACCGG